rnacentral:rRNA from 1 species
UGCUAGCCGCCGCGGUAAUACGAAGGGGGGUAGCGUUGUUCGGAAUUACUGGGCGUAAAGCGCACGUAGGCGGACUAUUAAGUCAGGGGUGAAAUCCCGGGGCUCAACCCCGGAACUGCCUCUGAUACUGGUAGUCUUGAGUUCGAGAGAGGUGAGUGGAAUUCCGAGUGUAGAGGUGAAAUUCGUAGAUAUUCGGAGGAACACCAGUGGCGAAGGCGACUCACUGGCACAUUUCUGACGCUGAGACGCGAAAGCGUGGGGAGCAAACAGGAUUAGAUA